UGUGUGGGGGCGUGGUCUAAAAAGCUGCAUGAUGACUUUUGAUUUCCCCCCUCUCUUUUGCGCUGGGCUCUGCCACCCUCUUUUCACCUCUCUAAUCGCAAUGCUCCUCAUCUGUCCAGCCAGCAUCAUUCAUUCACUUGCUCUCCCUGUCUCCUGUGUGACUACAGCUUUUUCUGUAAGAUCUCCCGCUCAAGACUUUUUUUUAAUCUAACUGCAUAACAGACAAGUAACCUAAUAAAAGAAAAUGCAUAGAGAUGAGGCAAAUUGCAACAAUGAGGUAAAAAAGCAGUUUUAUGAACAGUGUUACAUGAUGAGGGUUAGUCAGUGCCAGUUUUUUUUUUUUUUUUUUUUUUUUUUUUUUGCCAGCUGUAUCAACUUAGAAAGGCAUCUUGUUCAGUCUUGAAGGUUAAAUAUUUUUUUGUCAAUACCAAUACCAGGAGACUGUACAUGUAUAAUGUUGUUUAGCGGUGUAACUCAUGAGGUUUUUUUUUUUCAGUAAGGUUUUGGUUUUUCACCAGCUUGGUACGCCUCAACACAUUACUACUGGGUUGCCACGGGAGACAGAUUACUCCCUUCUGACUGGUAGCUGCAGGAGCUGAGGAAGGAUAUGCAGGUCUUGAUUGCUAGGUAGCGAGUGCUGCACAAUCUGUCAAAUCUAGAUAAGAACAUCUAAUGAUUCCCAGUGUAUUUUGGGCAUGGUCAGUCUGGCCAUGACUGAUUAGUGACAGGACCUGCCUAUCUGUCUGUUUACCAGCUGUUAACUGGUGUUCUGUAUUGUGAUAGCAUCAGAUCUGAAGUGUACCGCUGUGUAUUUGUGCAUUUUGUAUAUGGUUUGCACAGGUGUGGAUGCAUGCUUAGAGGAAAAUUGGAAUGGUGUGUGUGUGUUUGUGUGAUGCACAAGAACACACGUGUUGGAGUGUGUUCAAGUGUGUUAGGGGGUCUGUGCCUCUGCGUUCCUUCACUUUCCCUUUGUGAUUUUUCCUAGGCUUAUGCUCUAGACACUGUCCUCUCCUGCCCAGGGCUUUG